AACCUGCCUUUCAGUGGGGGACAACAGCUGGAAACGGCUGCUAAUACCGCAUGACAUAUCUGUGUCGCAUGGCAUGGAUAUCAAAGAUUUAUCGCUGAGAGAUGGCCUCGCGUCUGAUUAGCUAGUUGGUGAGGUAAAGGCCCACCAAGGCGACGAUCAGUAGCCGGACUGAGAGGUUGGCCGGCCACAUUGGGACUGAGAUACGGCCCAGACUCCUACGGAAGGCAGCAG
rnacentral:rRNA from 1 species